UUUAUAUGUUUACAUAUAGUAAAAAGAGUUCUUUCUGAUUUUUCUCUAUUAGAUUUAGGUUAUUCAAAUGAAUAAAAAUAUCCACUUAGUGGGAUUAAUCCUUUUAUAUUUAAUAGAGUAAAUGAGUCCAUGUGGUUUAAAGAACCCUAACAUUGUGAAGAAAAAAAUUAUGGUGUAUAAUGUGCCACAUUAUGUGUGCACAAAUUUGAUACAUGUAACAUCACUCUAAAGAGAGAAAAAUAAAUGAGCUUUCAAAUUCACAUUUUCCAAGCUAUAAUAGAACUCUCUUUUACAUUUUUCGAUAAUAUAUAAGUAAACUAUUUGAAUUUGGGUAAUACUUAAAUCCUCCUACGCAGGGGAAGCACAUAUUUUUCAAUUGCGAAUAACGUAUCUUAACUGAAUAAAAUUGACAAUUGAAACCAUUCAAUUAUUUAAUAUUCAUUUGAAGAUCAGUCCUAU
rnacentral:lncRNA from 1 species